AUUGGCGGGGUGUGGCUGCGUCCCAGGGCGGGGAAUACCGUAAUGGCGGACACGGGCCGGGCGAGCGCGGCUGGGGGCGUAGCGCGCUGAGGGGGGUCCGGCAGUGUGGCAGCCCGCGAGGCGGUCCGCAGGAGUACACUCUGUGCGGAGACUGUGCGGCCGGCCGGCCUUUCCUGUCGCUGACGGCGACUGCGGGAGGCCAGGUUGUUUUUCAUCAUUCAGAACAUUGCCUGAAGCAGGUCCACCAUGCCGUUAGUAACGAGGAACAUCGAGCCAAGGCACCUGUGCCGUCAGACGUUGCCUAGCGUUAGAAGCGAGCUGGAAUGCGUGACCAACAUCACCCUGGCAAAUGUCAUCCGACAGCUGGGCAGCCUGACUAUAUUUCCAGGGUGGUGUUGAUGGAUGCCGUUGCUCACACUCCCACUUGUGAUCAGACCACUCCUAUCUUGAGGAAGCUGCUCUGAGGGCCAAAGCCACCUUAUGCCCAAGGAAACAAGAUUUUCUUACAUUGUGGGGGCUAACUGACCCUUUAUUCAUCCAAUAAACAUGUGUUGAACAUAUUUUAUGUACCAGAUGCUGAGGGGAUACAGCAAAAGAAAUGGUCUCCAUCCUCCAGGAGCUCAUAAUCUAUAAGGGGAGGCAGAAAUAAAUAAUUCCUAAGAGGAGAGAAUGGGGAGAGAGUGAGAAGGGAACCCACAUUUGUUGAUUGCCUACUUUAUGCCAGGUUUGGAUAAGAUCUUGACAUAGAUUAUCUCAUUUAAUCUUCUCAGUAAUCCUAUGAGAUUAGGUGGUGGUAUGCCCAUUUUUCAGAUAAAGAAAAUAAGGCUCAGAAAAGUAAGGUAACUUGUCUAGGCACAGUGGCUCACGC